rnacentral:rRNA from 1 species
UCCUACGGGAGGCAGCAGUGGGGGAUAUUGGACAAUGGGGGGAACCCUGAUCCAGCGACGCCGCGUGAGUGAAGAAGUAUUUCGGUAUGUAAAGCUCUGUCAGCAGGGAAGAAAGCAAUGACGGUACCUGACCAAGAAGCCCCGGCUAACUACGUGCCAGCAGCCGCGGUAAUACGUAGGGGGCAAGCGUUGUCCGGAAUUACUGGGUGUAAGAGGAGCGUAGGCGGGAAGCCAAGUCAGCUGUGAAAACUACGGGCUUAACCUGUAGACUGCAGUUGAAACUGGCUUUCUUGAGUGAAGUAGAG